rnacentral:rRNA from 1 species
UACGUAGGCAGCGAGCGUUGUUCGGAAUUACUGGGCGUAAAGAGUGUGUAGGCGGUGCUCUAAGUUCGGUGUGAAAUCUCCCGGCUUAACUGGGAGGGUGCGCCGGAAACUGGAGUGCUCGAGCGUGGGAGAGGAAAGCGGAAUUCCUGGUGUAGCGGUGAAAUGCGUAGAUAUCAGGAGGAACACCUGCGGUGUAGACGGCUUUCUGGACCAUUGCUGACGCUGAGACACGAAAGCGUGGAUAGCAAACAGG